UACGUAGGGGGCUAGCGUUGUCCGGAAUCAUUGGGCGUAAAGCGCGUGUAGGCGGUUCGGUAAGUCCGCUGUGAAAGUCGGGGGCUCAACCCUCGGAUGCCGGUGGAUACUGUCGAGCUUGAGUACGGAAGAGGCGAGUGGAAUUCCUGGUGUAGCGGUGAAAUGCGCAGAUAUCAGGAGGAACACCAAUGGCGAAGGCAGCUCGCUGGGACGUGACUGACGCUGAGACGCGAAAGCGUGGGGAGCAAACAGG
rnacentral:rRNA from 1 species